rnacentral:rRNA from 1 species
GAUGAACGCUGGCGGCGUGCUUAACACAUGCAAGUCGAACGGAAAGGCCCAAGCUUGCUUGGGUACUCGAGUGGCGAACGGGUGAGUAACACGUGGGUGAUCUGCCCUGCACUUCGGGAUAAGCCUGGGAAACUGGGUCUAUUACCGAAAAGGACAAUGGUUUGGAGGCCAUUGUGGAAAGUUUUUUCGGUGGGGGAUAAGCUCGCGGCCUACCAGCUGGUUGGUGGGGUAUUGGCGUCCCAAGGCGUAGAGGGGUAGCCGGCCUGAGAGGGUGUAGGGCCACAUUGGAACUGAGAGACGGGCCAGAGUCCGACGGGAGGCAGCAGUGGGGAAUAUUGCACAAUGGGAGCAAGCCUGAGGCGGCGAGGCCGCGUGGGGGAUGACGGCCUUCGGGUUGUAAACUCCUUUCGCUAGGGACGAAGCGUUUUUGUGACGGUACCUGGAGAAGAAGCACCGGCUAACUACGUG